UACGUAGGGACCAAGCGUUGUUCGGAUUUACUGGGCGUAAAGGGCGCGUAGGCGGCUUAACAAGUCACUUGUGAAAUCUCCGGGCUUAACUCGGAACGGCCAAGUGAAACUGUCAAGCUAGAGUGCAGAAGGGGCAACUGGAAUUCUCGGUGUAGCGGUGAAAUGCGUAGAUAUCGAGAGGAACACCAGUGGCGAAGGCGACUUUCUGGCCUGUUCUUGACGCUGAGGCGCGAAAGCUAGGGGAGCAAACGGG
rnacentral:rRNA from 1 species